AACCAUAGAAACCUGCGGAGUACCUGCGGAAGGAUCAUUAUCAAGAGUGUAUGACCCCCUUAUAAAAUAGUGGGGUUAACCCUCCCGUCCUUUGAAGGCCCCUCUUUUGUUGAGGGUAAUUUGAACCCUUCUGCUUCGGUGGGUUUACUCACCGGAACAACCUCAAAAUUCUUGUUCAACAGUUCAGUCCGAGUGGUAUAUGAAUUCUUGAAAACUUUCAACAACGGAUCUCAGAUCGGA
rnacentral:misc_RNA from 1 species